AUCUAACGAUAUGACCCCCCCCCCCCCCCGCUGUGCGCUAAACAUUGCAUACAGUGCCGCCUAAGUGCUCGACGUGAAAGGACGUGUAAAAUUUCAACGUGAUUUACAACAAAAAUUCCGUAGAUACCAAAAAUCUAAACAUUCCCAGUUCACCGCGUUACAAAAAAAACUUGCUUAAGUUGCCCGCGAAAGGAAUUUAUAUAAAAAACGAAUCGAAAGACUACAUCAGAAAGGAAAGGAUACAAAUAGCCAGCAAAGAAAAGAAAAACAGUCAGCGGUAGAUUUGAAUGAUAAAAGCAAUACUAGUAACACAAAACAAACUCGAAUCCGCCAAAUUGUACUAAAAUUUAUUCAAGCAUGUGUCCAGAAAGGACACGUUUUCACGUUUAAACCCAUUUUGCGUGCUGCAACCAAAAAUAAAUAUGCGCACACUUGCUUGUGUGACAAACACGAAAACAUGGAUCUGCUAACUGAAUUUCUAAAAAAGAAUCAUAUCAUAAAAGAAAAUUCGACAACUGACGUUAUUAAGAGCAUAUGUUGCAUCAUUUUUAACUUGGAUGGUAUACAAAGAAAGUGAACAGAUUUCCAAUAUACCAAGAAUUUGAUAACUCGGAAAAAGUUUUAUAUUGGGCCUGGGAAAAACAAAAGAAAAUCCUACACUAAAAACGGGAUUGAGAAAACUGUCGUCACCGUUGAAAAAGUACGACACUACGUAGAACCGUUAAUACUCAUAAAACAAUUUGAAACUAAUCUUAAGCCAUUCCUUAACCCUUUAAAUCCUACGUCAUUUAAACUGACAGCUGUCACGUAACGCCCUGAAAUGGGGACGGGCAAUUUCUAUGCGGAAUGCCGCGCAGAAGCGGGGCCCCAAAAGUGCCCCAAACAUCGAAAGCGGCACCCUGAGUGCCGCAAACGGCUAGAUAAAAAAUAAAAUAAUUUGAUAUAUAUUGACUAUAUUUAUUUCUUUAGACAAGGAAGGUUAGAAAUCACACAAAAAGUACACCACUUUAUUGUAGAAAGACAAAGACUGCUUGCUGAACGAAAAUAUUUAUUACCCUCACAUUUAAAUAUUGACAAACUCUAUAAGGUCUACAAAAAUAGUAAGUAUGCUAAUGCUGCUGUUAAGAACACAUAUUUUCGCCACAUUUUUAAUUCGCAUUACAAUUUGGGCUUUGGGACUCCAAAAACUGAUGCUUGUUUUGAAAGUGUUUAGAGCUCUCUGGAAAAAUAGCUUCAGAAACUGAUCUUCAAAAGAAAACUGUACUUAUGACUGAGAAAAGAGUUCACUCUAUAAUAAGAAAUGCAGUUCCAAUGCUUUUAAUUUUCUAAAAACAAAGGUCAUAACAAAAUCUCUAAAUCCUCAAUAUUUUUCCAAAUAAAUUUUCGUUUGAUUUAGAUCUAAUACAAGAGUUUUCUCUUGGAAGAGCUUUUUCAUGCACAUUUAUUAUGAAAAAAGAUAAAAUAAAGGAGAUUCGAGGGUGGUGAAGUCUAACAAUCCGCACUAGGCUAGCGUGGUUGACUCUCCCUCGACCUCCACUCUUCUGUAGUAAAUAAACUUUUACGUUUCUGACGCCAAAUUUCUAAAGAUACAGAUCCCAAACGCAGACGCAGAAUUGAGAAUUCUGCGUCUGCGUUUGGGUAUUUUCUGGAUCUUGCCCAUAUUUAAUUAUUAUAUCUGGGUGAUAGAUCUCCACUAUAUCUUUUUCUUUCAAACCGGGAUAAUCCGUGGUCAUCAACCCGACAACGACUUCCCACUCCCCGCCUUCCACCACGUCCGCGUCCACGGCUGGGUCCCCGGCCACGUCCAUUUUUUGUCCACGGACAUUUUCCAAAUAUUUUGCCAAAUCCUUUUUCACUUGAGGUAGAUCUAAUACACGAGUUUUCUCUUGGAAGAGCUUUUUCAUGCACAUUAUGUAAAAAGAUAAAAUCAAGGAUAUUCGAGGGUGGUGAAGUCUAACAAUCCGCACUAGGCCAGCGUGGUGGACUCUCCCUCGACCUCCACUCUUCUGUAGUAAAUAAACUUUUAUGUUUCUGACGCCAAAUUUGCGUGCAACGCGACCCGCCGCCUUUUUGAGCCAUUAUCUUUGGCCGUGGCACUACAUAUUCACACACGUCGUUGUUCCCGCUAGGGUUCUUCUUUACGGCGUGCCUUCUUCUUCCACGGUGCUACCACGUGUGCUUGUACGGUGCACUAUCACGGACAGCAGACGGACGGGAGAGCUGCCUCCCGACCACGUCCAGCUGCGCACCACCAUCGUCGGGUGUGCUGACCCCGACCGACUGCCGGCGAGCUGCCGCCGCAGCCAGCCACGUGCAACAUCUACGUGCCGUUCGCCUGGAUCGGAGUUCCCCAGGCCAGUGACUCUUGUUGCAUAACACCGGCAACCAGUACCGGGUGUAACGCGGAGGUGUAAAAAUAAAGCUCGUACCACGUAAUUACCCUGAGUUUUUAAUUGUCUCCCUUCUAUCUGCGGGCAGGUCCUCAACCGCCGCAGGUUGUUGGAACAUAAUGAUAUUAAAACAAUCGAGUUUGUAUUCUCCGCAACGGGAUAUUAUUUUAUGCCUGCAGACAGACAAUUCGGCAUUGCUGAGAAAAAAAAGCGAAAACUUGAUGUCAUAUUACACCCUGAUGUAAUAAAAGAGAUUUUGGAAGAAACUUCAACAUUGGUAAGAUUGGGGAAGGACUGUCCAAUUUUUAACUUGAGAGAUGCUGUGAAAACAUUUCUAAGGCCCACAACAUCAUGGAAUAUGGCAUUUAAAGAAUGCAAACGAUUCAUUCUGAGGCGGUCAAAAGUACCAGGGAAUGUUUUGGUAAGAGGUGAAAUUUACUACAAAAGUGAUUUAGCAAAAUCGGUAAACAUAUGCCAACGUAACCAGAUGAUUGGUAAUAUAAUACCACAACAGUUACCGAACAUAGUUUCUGUUAAUAAAAAAUAAUUAUGUGAUGUCAAAAAGUUGCAACAUAAACAUUUCGCCCCGAAGUGGAAUGAUAGAACAGAUUUAUCUUUUUACAAGGAUAUAUUUGAUCAACAGGAUUCUCUCGCCUCUGCGUAUUAAAUAGGCAUUAUAAUAUUAUUAAAUUAAGUAUAAUCUAAUAAUAAGUAUUAUAAACAAGUAAGUGUAAAAUACAUUAAUUAAAAAACGAAAUGCUUUUUUAAUUAAUGUAUUUUUUUAUUCAAUCCUUUAGUAAGUACAUAAUAAUAUAAAGAAUGAUUAAAUAAAACUUUACCUACUACAUUAAUUAUACUUAAUUAAGUGUAAUUAAAUUAUACUCGGGUAAGUUGUGACAACCCUGAUUCUAGGUUCACAAACACUCGAUGUGUUUGGGAUCAAAAACGGUUAUCUACAUCGUGAUCAGUUUCAAAAACAGCAUUCUGUAAAAUUUAUUAUCAAAGUAGGCAAUCUAAAAAAAAUUAAAACUGAUUUUGUGACUCUUGCAGAGUGAAUAAUGUUAAAAUAAGGUUUUUACUAGAUGUAUAACUUAUCGAAGAUGCUAUAUAAAUUAGUUUUUGAAUGGCAAGGAUAAUGCAAAGAAAAUAGGACGUUUUUUUUUAUUUAUCAAAAUUUUCAAAAAGAUUCCCGGUUUUGAAACUAGUCGACUCAUAUGUAAUAAGCAACGAUAAUCUUCUUUUUCGUAUGAAAAUGCAUGACGCACGUCCUGCACAGCUCCAGAUAAAACGCUACUGAGCCGUACUUGGCCGAUGCCUCGCCCGGUGGUUUUGCCGUGUCAUGUACAAGCUCUCAUGUUUUUUCAGCUGUACGGCUAACACGCCGUACGGUUGAACGACCGUGACGUGGACAAGAGGCCUUUCUGUUCAAAAAAUGCACUGGAACAGUUUUUAUGAUUUAAAGUUUCUAGCUGAAGAAUAAAAUCUCAAUUUUAGAAAAAAUAUUCAUGGCGAACCAAUAAAAUUGACAGAAUUAACAAUGAUUAAGUUCACUAAGAAUACUGAUAAGUACAAAUAUAAAAUGUCCUUUGAACAAGAUUGGUUUGAAGCCAAGCUAAAGUUGACACGAGAGCGUAACAAAACCCCUUUAAACAUAAAUUUGAGACCGACAUAUAAUUCAAAAAUAUCUAUUUCAGAAGCGAAAAGGAAUGGUUUAUUGUAAUUGCUUUAUGCGCCGGAGUUAGGUGGAUCUAUUGUAAAUGCUUGUGUAGUAUUACACAACAUUUACAAUAGAGCGAACACUCCUGUGCAGCAAUUGAGCAACGAUGAACAGAAUCGAGAAGAGCAAUUGCAACUCAAUUAUAAUGUAAGUGUAGAAGCAGUUCAGCACACACGCAACAGUAAUGUCGCUUUGGUGCAGGGCUGGGCUAAACGGAGAGUACUUAUUCAGGAACUCUGGACAAGGAGUAAUGUAUAGAUGUUAAAAUCCUGAAAAGAGAGAGUACACUAGUAUUAUUUUUUAUUUUUUCAUUAAAUGAACUUUGUCAACACAAAUUAUAUACCAUUUGUUGCAAUAUUAUAAAUUUCAUCCUUCUUUAUCGAUUGGCACAACACUGUAUGCUAAAACUCUACAUUGCUCUACAUUGUAUGCUAAAAUCUCUCAAUAAAUCACGUUCGCUGAAGUGUCUGCUAUUAUUUUAUAUCUUAAAUCAUCAGGUGGUUUGGCCCAAACCCACGCAAUUGUUCAAGUAAUUGUAUUGUGGUUCUGUACUUGAUGAAUAAUGACACUGUCGUUUAUGACAAUAUAUUUAUUAAUUAAGACUACAAACAUAAUUAUAAUCAGACAUGACCAGGCCGACGCUAUCGGGACGUAAAGUGUGCGGAAGUGACAGUGGCCGGAAGGACGCCACAUAGUGAUGUCACUUUAGUAAGCUGAGACUACAUCACUAUGUAACAUCUCCCUUUUUCAUUUUUUGUUUUUAACAAAGACAAUUGAGACUUAAGACUAGUUUCACAGAAUGACAACAUAUACAUUUGGCUUAUAACUUUUACAUUCCUUAAUUUAUAUGACAUGUUACUUAUACAUUUGUGUAACUUAAAGACUUAAAAUUUACUUAGACAAUUACACUUGACAUUUAUCAAUCAUAUACUUAAUCUUGCAACCUGAAUGGGAGAUUGACCUGCCUGCCACUUCUAGUUUUAAGUAUACCCUUUAUAGGUUCUUCCUUUCUCACUUCCUCCUUUUGACUUUGACUUAUUUCUUGACUCUCUGUUAAAUUUUCUGGAAUAUUUUCCUUAUUAAGACUUGAAGACGGAGGACAUAACAAGUGUUGCCUAUUUCUUCUAAAUGUACAUCCAUCUGGGGCUUCGACAAUAAAUGAUCUAGGUUCAUCACAUUCCUUUAUGACUUUUCCAGAUUGCCAUUUAGAAUCAGGUGAUUUUUUGGACAUCACCCUAUCUCCUUUCUUGACUUUAGACAACUCCUUAGAUUUUUUAUCAAAAUAAAAUUUCUAUUUGACAUUAUUAUGUUGUUUUAUUUUCCUAUAUUCCUUAUGACUUGUUAUUUUAGGUUGCAGAUGCUUAACAACGGUAGGUAUUAGUGUUCUGAGACGACGAGACAUCAAUAAUUCAGCAGGAGACGGUAAGUUUCCUCUAGGUGUGGUCCUAUAUUGCAGCAAGGCAGGAUGAGGAUCAUCUCCAGACUCAGCACAUUUGGUAAGUAUGCGCUUUAUUAUUUUCACUCCAGAUUCCACUAAUCCAUUUGACCGUGAUAGGUAAGGAAUUGACGUUGUAUGACAUAUACUUAAAUUCUUGUGAACUGUAGGGUGGACCAUUAUCUGACAUUAUUUUUACAGGAAUCCCGUGACGACUGAAUAUAGGUUUCAAAACAUUUAUUAAUGCUUUUGCUCCUGUUGAGCUGACAUUAGCUAUUUCUAUAUAAUUAGAAUAGUAAUCUUCGACGACAACAAU